AGGUUGAUCUGUGCCCCUGUAAUCGCCGGCUGCCCCAGCCAAGGAUGCACCAGGGAACAUCUCGACCUUGCUACGAGGCCCCUGUGCUCCUCCUGCGAUGCACGAGCUCCUCUGCUCCUUCAGUAAUUGCCUGCACAGGAGGGUGCCCCCGGCUCUGCUCCGAGGCGCUCCAGCCUCACGCUGCAUCCGAGGUGGGAAUUAUUCCAUUUAGCAAAGAGGAUUAAUGUUUCAUAACAAAAGGUAAUUUAUUCAGGCUCUCCUGGUAGGACGCUGCCAGUGGUGGCCCGGUGCAGUGAUUGGCAUGGAUCGGCUCCAUCAGAACUCCCAUCAGGACACAGCCAGGGGGACCAAGGUGGCAGCAUGGCCGGAGCUGCUGCCAGCUCCAGCUCACCCCAGCCUGGAGGAUGGGCUCUCUGUGGGGACGCUGCUUUUAUUGCUGCUUUGCUGGCCGUGGCAUCAAAGAGAAUAGCAGAUAAAUUGUGGCUAGAGACAAUGAGGGUAGCGCGCCUCUGGGAUUUGUAUGAGAUCCAGGACUCUGCCAUGCAGUCAUUAAGGAUCUGGGCAAGCAAUAAGCUGUGAAGGAGCAGAAUGUGCAGAUGACAGGCUGCUGUUUGGAAUAGGCGAGCUUAAAGAAGACGGAGGAAUUUUAAGGACAUCUCCCAGAGCCCAGUGAGCAAGUGCCUGGCAUGGGGGUGACGUUUGGAUUGCCCAGUGCAAAGCAAUACACAGGGAUUGCAAUUACCUGAGCUAUUUGCACACAUUUGUGUGUUCUGAGUUAACUCUGUCAGCUCAGGAAGCUGAAAUACAUCUGCGUUAGAGGAAAACCCUGCACCCAUAAUCCAAAAAGCCAGGGAAUCCAGCACUCUGUAAAGCAUGGGGCAGGGAAAAACCCAACCCUGGGAACAGGGUGUUGUAGUACAAUGGCUCGUUCUCACCCAGAAAUGUGGGUUGAGAUCAGACUGAGAGACCUCAAAAAAGGUGCAGGA